rnacentral:tRNA from 1 species
UCGCCUGGUAGGGCGGGUUGACCUGGGCGGAGCCGCCGCCCAUGGCGAUGGUCUGCACGGCGUGCCGGCCGAUCACCGCGAUCCGGGCGCC